rnacentral:lncRNA from 1 species
UUUUUUUUCUUUUGUUUUGUUUUGUCUUUUUGCCAUUUCUUGGGCUGCUCCCGAGGCAUAUGGAGAUUCCCAGGCUAGGGGUCGAAUUGGAGCUGUAGCCACUGGUCUACACCAGAACCACAGCCACGUGGGAUCUUAGCCACGUCUGCAACCUACCCCACAGUUCACGGCAACACCGGAUCCUUAAUGCACUGAGCAAGGCCAAGGAUCAAACCCACGACCUCAUGGUUUCUAGUCAGAUUCGUUAACACUGAGCCACGACAGGAACCCCUGAUUGUGUUUUUCAAGUCUUCUAUCUCCUUACUGUUUUUCUGACUAUCCUUAUAUAUCAAUUAAUGAUAAGAAUAGUGGCAUUCUUACAUGCAUAUGAGGAGUGUGUGCUAUAUUACCAUGUUUUCUAACAUUAUCUUCAUCUUGUGCCCAUAGGUUUACAGAUAUCUACACAGAUGGACCCUUCCUAACAUAUUCUCCCACUCUUUUAUUUGAAGUCCUGCUCAUAUAUAUCUCCACAAACUUCAGUUAACACUUAGGAGAUAUCUGACUGCAAAAAAAAAAAAAAAAAAAAAAAAAAAAAAAUCUUCAGGUUUUAGUCACGAUGUAAAUUCAAAAUAUAAUUUUUUCCUAUAAAUGUUGUAUAUUAUGUUUAUGUUCUAGUUUUAUGAGCUGUCUGCUCCUGAUCACGUGAUAAUUCUGAAUACAAUAAAAGCAACUUACGAAGUUUUGUGAAAGGUUCCAAGUGCUCUACUAAAAAUCUUUUUGUCUUAAAUAUUUAAACAGAAAUGAGAAAACUAUGAACAUUUUUUUCAAAUAUCAGUUAGAAAAUUCAAGAAGCAGAUUAUACUAAUUACCGUUACUGAGAAGUUACACAUCAUGGACUCAAAUUUCUCUUUAUGAGGCUUAAUGCAGCUUAAUGCUUUACCUCAUGGGAGUUACAAUAUGGAAAGAAGACAUAAAAGACCUGAGUCAAUUGAUCUGUAUUACAGCGGGGCCUGCAAAAUAUGCCAGGUCUCCCAGGGUGGCCACACUGUCUGAAUAAUUCAUCUCGGAGCUGUUGUUAUACUUGAGGGAGGCAUCCACAGGCCUAUGAGUGACCAUCUGCAGAAGAGGAAAAGGCAGGCCAGAAUAGCAUAAAUUUCAUAAGCAGUCAAGCUCACUAUUGGAGAAAAAAAAUUGUCUCAUAUUCAGACAGUUCUAAGACAUCAGCUGAAUGAAUACAAUGCAGUCACAUAUCAACAUUAAAAUAUACGGUAACACCUAUAGGUACUAUAACAAUGAAUAGAAUGAUGAGACAAGACCCAACAAAUUGCAAUUUGUCAUAGGAGACAAAUUUCCAUUAAAAUUAAUGCAAAAGUACAGAAUAUCUCAGUUUGGGAACGUGAUUAUCAUUUCUACCUCCAUUCAGUAUGUACUUUGUUUCAGGUGUUAUGCUAGUCGAUGCAUAUAGGCCUGAAUUAUAAUAUUAAAGUUUGAAUUAGGAUACAAAUGGAGUCUAUGAAAAAUAAGUGUGUGAUAUGCUUUUAGCUGAAGGUUUAGAAUGACUGAUAGUUUACCUUGGCAUGAACUAUGUCAUAAAAGGGAGGCCUUAGUUGCAUUUCUGCAAGAUAACCUAAAGCAAUAAAACACCCUCCUCAUCUACGCCAUUGUUCUUAUACCAGUGGAGAUCAAUUCAUAGAAAAGUUUUCUUCUGGGCUCAGACUAGAUGGGUUUACUUAAAGAUGCCUCUCUGCCAAUAAGACCCAGAGUCAAGAGACUCACAGCACUUUUCCCACCUUUCUUCCCCACAGUAAAGGAGAGAGCAAUUGGUGGCUUUCAACUUAUCUUCUUGUUAGAAGUCGUCUUAUCUGACAUAUUCGGAAUACGUAGUUGACCAGUUUAUCAAAUAAAAAUACUGACAUGCAGAGUUUGCUACUCUUUUGAUAGAAGGCCAAGGCGUUUGCUUCAUGUGCAGAUAUGCUCGUUAGGUUUCUACAUCUUACAUAAAGCAUUUUCAUUAUUCAUCAUCUACAAUUUCAAGUUUUCUUUUUUUAUAAUAAAGCAAGAAAAUUAAAGACAUUUGAGAAGCAAUAUGGAUGAAGAAUCUUAGUCACUCAAAUUUUUCCCAAUCUUUUAUGACUGGCUCAGCCACAGCUAAUUCAGCAACAAUUUUAUUUUGGAAAAUUGACUAGCAGUCUGUUUCAGCUUUCAUAUAAACAUUUCUCUUUACUUAUUGGAUAUUAUAUUUUGUUUACAGAGUAAUUAAUCCAAUUAUAUGAUAAAAUAGAUGUGCAACUGUCAUCUACAGAUGUGGGACUCUUGGUGACAUAUAUCCCCACAAGGGUCACCUAAAGUACACAAGUGUAUUGAAGAAGACCCAUCCAGAAUGUCACAGGCAUUAGUGUGUAGACUUUACAGAGAAAAUAGAGAGCAUUAGUUAAUCCACUUGGCUGAUAAAAGGGAUAUGGGAUAAGAGGGAUUCUGUUGUUACUUCUUAAGCUUUUGACUUUUUAUAAAGGCCUACUUAUUUAGAAAAGAAAAGGGGGAAAAAAAAAAACCUACCUCAAGUUCCCCUUUACAACUGGAACACUACCUUAAUCAAAAUACAAAGAUAUAACCAAAACUUUAGAGAAGGAAACAAUGAAUGGCAUUUAAGAAUAAGAAAACUAAAUUUCAGAAAAUCAAGACAGUAAAGGAGGGUAACAGAGAAAGACUUCAACUCCAUUGCAUCUCUUGAACACAAAGCUUGUGUUACACAACACUGCUAAGGUGAAAACAAAGCGAUACUAGCUGAAUAGCCCCAGUUCACUUCCCACAGGUUCACAGAGUGACGUGGUACCCACAGCAUCUCAAUGUCAUCAACGAUGACUUGCAAUAAAAAACGACCUUGAGCAUUUCAGAUCUAUUUGUACAAAUUUUGACAAGUGAAUGGCACUUAUUUUAAAUAAAGGCCAGGAGAUCACGUGACAGGCUUUGCAGGCUUAUAAAACCAUUUCAUUGCAAUCAGCAGAUUCCAAGGUUUGAAAAGCAUUUUGAAAUAUCUCAUAGUGCACAUGUAAAAGGGACAGUGAUUU